ensembl:lincRNA
AUGGGUGGAGGACUGGGCAGCUGCGGGUGGCGUUGUGAAGCCAGGGGCCUUCUGGUGGGUAAGGAUGUUGUGGAGCAAGCAGGGACACCUGGGAACCAGGAGUUCACAGGAAGGAGAGAGGAAAAAGGAAGUCUCUGGGAGGUAAACGCUGUAACACACGCCUGCACACAUACCCACGCCUGCACACGCAUCCACUCCUGCACACACAUCACACGCAUCCACUCCUGCACACACAUCCACUCCACACACAUCCACUCCUGCACACGCAUCCACUCCUGCACACACAUCCACUCCACACAUAUCCACUCCUGCACACACAUCACAAGCAUCCACUCCUGCACACGCAUCCACUCCUGCACACACAUCCACUCCUACAUACACAUCCACUCCUGCACACACCACACACAUCCACUCCUGCACACGCAUCCACUCCAACACACACAUCCACUCCUGCACACACAUCCACUCCACACAUAUCCACUCCUGCACACACAUCACAAGCAUCCACUCCUGCACACGCAUCCACUCCUGCACCACACAUCCACUCCUACAUACACAUCCACUCCUGCACACACCACACGCAUCCACUCCUGCACACACAUCCACUCCUGCACACGCAUCCACUCCUGCACACACCACACGCAUCCACUCCUGCACACGCAUCCACUCCAACACACACAUCCACUCCUGCACACACAUCACAAGUAUCCACUCCUGCACACGCAUCCACUCCUGCACACACAUCCACUCCACAUGCAUCCACUCCUGCACACGCAUCCACUCCUGCACACACAUCCACUCCUGCAUACACAUCACACGCAUCCACUCCUGCACACGCAUCCACUCCUGCACACACAUCCACUCCUACAUACACAUCCACUCCUGCACACACCACACGCAUCCACUCCUGCACACGCAUCCACUCCAACACAUGCAUCCACUCCUGCACACACCAUUCCACUUCCUGCACACACCAUCCCACUCCUACACCAUCCAACUCCCUGCAUCACACACCACACGCAUCCACUCCAACACACGCAUCCACUCCUGCACACACAUCACACACAUCCACCCCUGCACACACAUCCACUCCUACACAUGCAUCCACUCCUGCACACGCAUCCACUCCUGCACACACAUCACAUGCAUCCACUCCUACACACGCAUCCACCCCCGAUCUCUUCCCUGAAAAUAAAGCUGGGGACCCCUAGGCGGGUUUGCAGUGCGGCCCGGCCCUUAGGACAGGCUCCUUGGUGGGGUGAGGGGGGCAGCUGUCCUCCUGGGUCGGCCCCUUGGGACUGAACCGGCUGCUCUAGGGGCCUCCCAGGCUCCGAGCGGCAGCACCACGUCUAGAGGAGGUGGCUGGGGGUGUGUGAGGGCCGACAGCAGCCUGCACAGUAGCUGCCCCUCAACAAGCCACUUAUUCUUGCAAAGGGGGUGUCAGGGUGGGUGGGUGUGGUCAGCAAAGGGCAUGGGGGUUUCACCGGCUCCCUGCCCCCACUGGUGGGGCACAGGGAGGGGGGCUGUGGUCAGACCUGGUCUCUGGAGGGCCGGCCUGGGGAUUCUGUCCACCAGAUGGGAGGUUUGAUGCCACUUUAAGAUGACAAGUGAGGCCACCUGGGCACAGUGCUGUUGUGAAAAGGUGCCCACCAGGGUGGGUCAAGAGCCCAGGCCCACCCUGCUCCAAAAUUCUUCAGACCUGGCGAAAAGGCACCCCAGGAGGGCGUGGUGUUCCAGGCCCACCUCACAGGCUCCAGGGCGGCCAAGGAUGGAGGACAAUUCCAGGGAUGAGCAAGACAUAGCCAAGAGCAUCUUCCUGGGAGAGGCCGAGCUGGCCACUUGCACAGCCCGGGGGCUUCCCGACCCUGGACCUGGUACCUUCACUCUUGCUGCUACCCCUGGAUUCAUACCUGCACCCCAGCCUUAGCCACACCCAGGCCUCCAGCUAAAGUGAUGCUAUGGGUGCCAAGCGUCUGAGGUCCACACAAGCCCCCUCAGACUCAGGAUGGGAAUUCCUGGGGGCCAGAGCUACCAAGGGUGCUGUCUGGGGGUGCCGGGCAAAGCAGGAGGGCAGAGGAGGCCUGAGCAGUUCCUCCAGUGCUCCUGACAGGCGGCAGCCCAACCAUCCUCCCACAGCCACUUGGCUUGCCACACCUGCAGGCCUGGCUCCCCCGCCCAUGAGGUCCUGACCAAAUGCAGGAGAAGCAAUUUCAGCACCGGCGGAAGGGGGUGGCAGAGCUGGGGAGGGCUAGUAGAGCCAUCUGUCAGCACCGCCUCGGAGCGCCCAGAGUGGUCCCCGCUCGGGGAUUCACCCGGAGCAUUUUCAGCCUCUCCAGGCCCACCCUCGCCCAGAGGCCACAAAAACCCUGCUGUACUGGGGCCGGCAUCGGGGCCCCCACCCACGUGGAAUUACAUGGCUUUGCAUAAUUACAAAUUCGAGGUUGUCAAAGCCUCCCCCUGGAGGCCAUGCAUGGCUGUGAGAGAGGACCCAGACUACCCUGUGGCCCCAGGAAGGCUCUGCAACAAAAUACCCCUUAGGGUAAAACCCAGGACCUUCUCAAAACUUAAGCUGUCAUUGGACAUUUCAAAUGGUGCUUCCUAAGAGCACUUCAAUAAUGGUGUUCCAACGAUCACGCCCCCAAGGCCACUCCACACUUGCACACCCCCAGUUUAGGGAGCUCACCCCUCCUCUCCGGGUGCGUCUCCUCGCAUCCCACACUCAGCCCUGCUCGUGACUUUCUGCUCCCAGCGCCGUCCUCAGUGGCCACACCAGGAAUGAGGCCGUGUCCUCCUGGCUCAGGUGUCAGCAAAUGCCCUGGCGUCUUGGGCCGGGCUGGGGGCAGCAGGGUGAGGUGGGGUGAGGAGGCCGACCUCACUGCCCCUCCCUUUCCUGCCUGCCCUUC